AUGGUGCCUUGGCUCCUGGCCUUGUUGUUGUCAGGGUUGCCAACAGGGGUGCAGGCCCAGGUGCGGCUGGUGGAGGCUGGUGGAGAGCUGAAAGUGCCUGGGGAAUCCAUUCGCCUCUCCUGCCAGGGAUAUGGCUUCAGCUUCGAGGACUAUGGUUUGCAUUGGUACCGUCAGUUCGCCGGUGCCACACUCGAGUGGGUUGCCACCAUUAGCUAUAGCUCUGCCUACACUCGUUAUGGUGCAGCAGUGGAGGGUCGGGCCACUGUCUCCCGCGACAAUUCACAGGCAGUGGCAUAUCUGGCCCUGCGUGCCCUGCGCCCACAGGACUCCGCCCGCUAUUUCUGUGCCAUUGUCACAGUGACAGGAAAGCUGGCUGCACCCUGA